GGGUAACGGCCUACCAAGGCUACGAUCAGUAGGGGUUCUGAGAGGAUUAACCCCCACACUGGUACUGAGACACGGACCAGACUCCUACGGGAGGCAGCAGUGAGGAAUAUUGGUCAAUGGGCGGAAGCCUGAUCCAGCCAUCCCGCGUGAAGGAAGACAGCCUUACGGGUUGUAAACUUCUUUUCUGUCAGAAGAAUAAGCUUGUCGAGACGAGUGAUGCCGGUAUGACAGGAAUAAGCAUCGGCUAACUCCGUGCCAGCAGCCGCGGUAAUACGGAGGAUGCAAGCGUUAUCCGGAUUUAUUGGGUUUAAAGGGUGCGCAGGUUGUUUGAUAAGUCAGUGGUGAAAGUCUGUCGCUUAACGGUAGGAUUGCCAUUGAUACUGUUGGACUUGAAUAUGGAUGAGGUAGGCGGAAUGUGUAGUGUAGCGGUGAAAUGCAUAGAUAUUACACAGAACACCGAUUGCGAAGGCAGCUUACAAAUCCAAGAUUGACGCUGAGGCACGAAAGCGUGGGGAUCAAACAGGAUUAGAUACCCUGGUAGUCCACGCCGUAAACGAUGAUCACUCGCUUUUUGCGAUAUACAGUAAGCGGCAAGCGAAAGCGUUA
rnacentral:rRNA from 1 species